AUUAUAUAAAAAAUGGAAAAAAAAUGUAGAAAAUAAAAAAAAAUAAAAAAAAAUUCAUAUCCGGAUCGUACAACGACACCCUUGAUGCAAAACAUGUUUGCGCGCCUGACGAUGUUAAGACACACGACACACACUUCCCUUGAGAAAAGAUGAUAGCCUUCACGAGUGUCUUACUAUUUCUUUGCAGAGCCCCUCUUCUUGAUGACGACGCGUACACUGUCAGCUACACUUUGCAGUGUCUCACUUAAAUUUUUCUCUAUCUUUGUAUCUCUCCAUUUCAGAUAAAUUGUUAUCUUUCCAAGGGUUGAGGAGAACAUGGUCGUGGUUCAAGUGAAGCCACUACAGCCACUCCCUGACAAGCCUUCCACACCGACAGACAGUGGCAGCAGACACACAAGAGACGAUGGUGUGGUGGACAAGAGGAUGCAGGGAGACAGCAGACAGAAUGGAAGCUACAGAUGAAAGAAGAGCAGGUCAAGCCAUGGCAGCAGACACAUAGACAGACAGAUUGGAUAAGAAAGAAGUAUUAUUUAGUGAGACAGGCCCACUGGAAGCUGUCAGAGUGCUGUGGCAUGUGGCAAGAACCAAGUGUUCAGGAGCACACACUGUCCCUUCACCAGUCAGCAGAUCUGGGCGGCUUGGGAGCCUCACUACAAACUGAAGACCCGUUCACUUGAAGGACAGUUGGAGUCGGACACAAGAUCCAAGAGGGAGUUAUUUUUAAACGAGAGCUUCAGGCAGAAAAUUCGAGUGGAUUUUCAACUCUAAAAAUAACUUUUUUGGGGGGAUAUUUUGAACCUUCUUUAUCUUGAAAAAUAACUCCAGAUAUUAUGACUCUAGCUGGAAGUUGACCUGAGCAAUGUAGGGUUUGCUGCAGUGAGAUUACCAAGGCACGAGUGUCUGGGAUUUAAAGAUGAUGGAUAUGUGUCCUGUGUGCUGCUGUGCUGGGAGGAGAGGAGCAGCAGCAGUCGUGGGGCUCUGUUGCUGCUGUCACUGGUGCAGCUGUUCACUCCUGCAGCUACCUUCCCUCAACAUACUGUGUCUUCCCUCACCUGCAAUGAACAACUAUGAACAAUACUUCUCCUGCGAUGAGGAACAGUGAAUAACCUCUCUCUCUCUCUCUCUCUCUCUCUCUCUCUCUCUCUCUCUCUCUCUCUCUCUCUCUCUCUCUCUCUCUCUGUCUCUCUCUCUGUCUCUCUCUCUCUCUCUCUCCACAGUAUGUCCCCCACAGUAUGUUUACAAACCCACAGUGACUCUCCACAGCCCCUCACCAACAAUUGUCUCCUUCACACACACACACACAAAUGUUAGAAUCUUGUAGUGUCUACAACAAGGAAUGGAACCGAAAUCGACAA